rnacentral:misc_RNA from 1 species
AUCUGAUCUAGGGUUUUAUCCGUUCAAAAUUUUUUAAAUGUUUUGUUUUUGCGUUUUGUUUUCUGCUAAAUUAUAUAUAUAUUUUUUAAUUUAAUUGUCGACUAAUAUUGUGGAAUCAUGAGGGGAGCUACUGAGCAAUCGUCGUCUGUGGUGGUUGAGAGGGUUGAGGACGGUGGAGAUAAGGAUAAGGAGAAGAAGAAGAAUAAGCGCCGAUCUAAUCGUCGAUCUAAGCAGAACUCUCCUAAUCCAG